rnacentral:rRNA from 1 species
AUGAACGCUAGCUACAGGCUUAACACAUGCAAGUCGAGGGGCAGCAUGGUCUUAGCUUGCUAAGGCCGAUGGCGACCGGCGCACGGGUGAGUAACACGUAUCCAACCUGCCGUCUACUCUUGGACAGCCUUCUGAAAGGAAGAUUAAUACAAGAUGGCAUCAUGAGUUCACAUGUUCACAUGAUUAAAGGUAUUCCGGUAGACGAUGGGGAUGCGUUCCAUUAGAUAGUAGGCGGGGUAACGGCCCACCUAGUCUUCGAUGGAUAGGGGUUCUGAGAGGAAGGUCCCCCACAUUGGAACUGAGACACGGUCCAAACUCCUACGGGAGGCAGCAGUGAGGAAUAUUGGUCAAUGGGCGAGAGCCUGAACCAGCCAAGUAGCGUGAAGGAUGACUGCCCUAUGGGUUGUAAACUUCUUUUAUAAAGGAAUAAAGUCGGGUAUGGAUACCCGUUUGCAUGUACUUUAUGAAUAAGGAUCGGCUAACUCCGUGCCAGCAGCCGCGGUAAUACGGAGGAUCCGAGCGUUAUCCGGAUUUAUUGGGUUUAAAGGGAGCGUAGAUGGAUGUUUAAGUCAGUUGUGAAAGUUUGCGGCUCAACCGUAAAAUUGCAGUUGAUACUGGAUAUCUUGAGUGCAGUUGAGGCAGGCGGAAUUCGUGGUGUAGCGGUGAAAUGCUUAGAUAUCACGAAGAACUCCGAUUGCGAAGGCAGCCUGCUAAGCUGCAACUGACAUUGAGGCUCGAAAGUGUGGGUAUCAAACAGGAUUAGAUACCCUGGUAGUCCACACGGUAAACGAUGAAUACUCGCUGUUUGCGAUAUACAGCAAGCGGCCAAGCGAAAGCGUUAAGUAUUCCACCUGGGGAGUACGCCGGCAACGGUGAAACUCAAAGGAAUUGACGGGGGCCCGCACAAGCAGUGGAUUAUGUGGUUUAAUUCGAAGCAACGCGAAGAACCUUACCAAGUCUUGACAUCCUCCUGACCGGUCCUUAACCGGACCUUUCCUUCGGGACAGGAGAGACAGGUGGUGCAUGGUUGUCGUCAGCUCGUGUCGUGAGAUGUUGGGUUAAGUCCCGCAACGAGCGCAACCCCUAUCUUCAGUAGCCAGCAGGUAAGGCUGGGCACUCUGGAGAGACUGCCAGGGAUAACCUGGAGGAAGGUGGGGACGACGUCAAAUCAUCAUGCCCCUUAUGACCUGGGCUACACACGUACUACAAUGGCCGUUAACAGAGGGAGGCAAUACCGCGAGGUGGAGCAAAACCCUAAAAACGGUCCCAGUUCGGAUUGUAGGCUGAAAUUCGCCUACAUGAAGCCGGAAUUGCUAGUAAUCGCAGAUCAGCAUGCUGCGGUGAAUACGUUCCCGGGCCUUGUACACACCGCCCGUCACACCAUGAGAGUUGGGGAUACCCGAAGCCUGUGAGCCAACAGUUAAAUGAGGCAGCAGUCGAAGGUAGAAUCAAUGAUUGGGGUG